UCCAAGGGGAGAUGCCUCACCACACAAUCUCCCUCUCUGCCCUGCCACAGUUGGUACUGAUUUGACUGUCUCUGGAGAAGCCAAGGAUCAAAUGCUCCACGGCGCCAGACUGUUUUCUUUUGCAGCCUGCAGGUCACCAGGAUACUUAAGAAGUUUGCGUUAAUUAUACCAUGUUUGCCAUCAAAGAGGGAAUAUUAACCCUUUCAAGCUGUUGCAGGAAAGCAGUGGAGUCAUUUGAAAGAACUGCUGAAGCCCCCGCUCAGAGCAGCACGCUCCUCGGGGCGCUGGGGGAUGCACCACCCCUCCUGACAGCCUGAUGGAUUAUGGCCCCAGUUCUGUCAGCAGAUCCAACCAAGCCAGCAGAAUGACAGCAGGGAGGCAGC